UACGUAGGGUGCGAGCGUUGUCCGGAUUUAUUGGGCGUAAAGAGCUCGUAGGCGGUUUGUCGCGUCGGCCGUGAAAUCUCCACGCUUAACGUGGAGCGUGCGGUCGAUACGGGCAGACUUGAGUUCGGUAGGGGAGACUGGAAUUCCUGGUGUAGCGGUGAAAUGCGUAGAUAUCUGGAGGAACACCGGUGGCGAAGGCGGCAUCCUGGACCAAUUCUGACGCUGAGGAGCGAAAGCCAGGGGAGCAAACGGG
rnacentral:rRNA from 1 species